AACGAACGCUGGCGGCAGGCCUAACACAUGCAAGUCGAACGGAUGUAGCAAUACAUUAGUGGCGCACGGGAGAGUAACACGUGGGAAUCUACCUUUUGGUUCGGAAUAACGUCGGGAAACUGACGCUAAUACCGGAUAAGCCCUACGGGGGAAAGUUUUUCGCCAAAAGAUGAGCCCGCGCUAGAUUAGCUUGUUGGUGAGGUAAUGGCUCACCAAGGCUACGAUCUAUAGCUGGUCUGAGAGGAUGACCAGCCUCACUGGGACUGAGACACGGCCCAGACUCCUACGGGAGGCAGCAGUGGGGAAUAUUGGACAAUGGGGGAAACCCUGAUCCAGCCAUGCCGCGUGAAUGAUGAAGGCCUUCGGGUUGUAAAGUUCUUUUGGUAGGGACGAUGAUGACGGUACCUACAGAAUAAGCUCCGGCUAACUUCGCGCCAGCCGCCGCCGUAA
rnacentral:rRNA from 1 species